AUGCAGCUUUCCAUGAUCUUCACUAUUGGUAUUUUCUUGCUGUAAGUUACGUGUGCUUAUUGGUUUUCCAGAUCAAUUGCACAGUAGGUAAUGCUAGUUCCUUUCUUAAUUCCUGUUUUUUAAUAGGUAGUAAUUAGGAAAGUUUAUUAACUCAAAGCCCAAAAACACUUGCAAUUCUAAAAUAUGAAUAAGUCACUGUACCACUGACCACUCUAUUCGCCUAGGGAAGUAAUAGAACUUUUACCUUCAGUAGUUUAUCUAGAAACUAGUUAAAUUACCCGCGCUUCGCGCGGUCUUAAAAACUAUUAGUGAGGCAAUAUUUUUAUUAAUUAGUCCACAUAAAAAAAUGAUAAAAAUUAAUUUUUAUCUAUAAAAUCAUGUCUAAACUCUUAAGUAACCAAAUCUUCUUUAAAGGCCUAUAAUCGAAUAUGAUAAUAUGCCUACAUUAAAAGGAAAAAAAAUUCUUCUUUAAAGUAAUAAAAUACAAACGCAUUAUAAGAUAACGAAGCUUUAACUGAAAAGAUAAUUAUAUAGUAGUAAUAUCACAACAAAAUAGACACUUUUUGUUGGUUCCUCACUCAUUGACUUCUUUGUCAAUUUUUUUUUUUUUUUUCCUUCAAAAAACCAAUACUAAAACAAAGGGAAGAACGCCAACUUCCCCUUUUUAAAAUCAGCUAGGAAAUGUAUCUACAAACUCUAAUCACAAAACAGAAAAAAAUGUGCAUCUCUCCCUCGAUUAAAUUGUAUGUAUCUUUAAGUAAUAAUUAUCAGAGAAUAUGUAAAGUAAUAGUUGAAGAUUAGAGAAUUUAGAUUGUAUACAGGGAAAAAAAAAAAAAAAAACUUAUAAACAACAUAUUGCUGAGAUGAUUCGAGGAGUGUUAAAAAUUAAAUGCACAUAAUUUAACUCUUAUGACCACUCAAUACAUACAAAUAAAGGUAUUUGUACAAAAACAACUUAAUCAUGUCUCAAUAUAAUUAUAUCAUUGUCAUUCUCUGAUUGUUGAAAAAAUGUUCCCCCUCUUUCUCUUGGUAAUUUUUUUCCAAAUCCUGAAACUAACAUCAAAUUCACUGUAAAAGAAAGAAGAAAAUCUGCCAAUUGUCUCCCAAUAUAAUACAAUAGCGGAAAAAAACUAACAGUAGGCAACAUACCACUUCACGAACUUCUAAAAUAGUGGUGCAAGAAUGAAUGUGCCAUUUUGCAACAUCUAUGCAUGUCACAAAUAUAACCACGAAAGUUUUGUCAAAGUCUCGUACAGGGUAUUAUGUAAAAGUCCAUUAUUGUGACUUGCAUUGUUUGAGACGAACGUCUCCGCCAGACCAUUUGAGCCAUGUUGGGUUGACUCUUUCUCGAUCCUCAACCUAAUUUCGUCAUCGUCCCUGAUCAAUAUGAAUUGUGUAUUUGUUUUUUACCUUCAUGUUUUAAAUAGAGUAUUUUCUAAGUAAAACGAUUAAUGGAUUUAAAUGUGAUGUAAGUUACAAUUGACAAAGUAAUGAGAGUUAAUACUCAAAAUUCUGAGUAAGUAAUGAGAGUUAAAACUCAGAAGGAAGAAAAAAACCUCAUUGAUUCGUCUGAUCUUUCCUCAAAUGGAGACUGAAGGCAUUCUUUUUUCCUCGAUAAAUAAGGAAUAUGAAUGUCGGCAUGCUACACAAAGAACAAACUAAUUAACAUGAAGCAGAAGCAAAGUCGAAAGUGAUGAAGAGAACCAAUGAAAGAAGAAACGUGAAGAGGCAAAGUGAACACAACUGAAUAGAAAAAUCAGUUUGGGUUAAAAGGAAAGUAAAAUAGUUAUCGUUAUUACCAAAGGAAAAUUAAGCACUGA